GUCCCUAUAGCGCAGUGGAUAGCGCGUUGGAUUUCUAAUCCAAAGGUACCGGGUUCGUUCCCCGGCAUGGAUG
rnacentral:tRNA from 1 species